rnacentral:rRNA from 1 species
UACAGGGGGUGCAAACGUUGCUCGGAAUUAUUGGGCGUAAAGCGCGCGUAGGCGGCUACUUAAGUCGGAUGUGAAAGCCCUUGGCUCAACUGAGGAAGUGCACCCGAAACUGAGUGGCUUGAGUACCAAAGAGGGUCGCGGAAUUCCCGGUGUAGAGGUGAAAUUCGUAGAUAUUCGGAAGAACACCAGUGGCGAAGGCGACUCGCUGGACAGGUAUUGACGCUGAGGUGCGAAAGCGUGGGGAGCAAACAGG